UACGUAGGGUGCGAGCGUUGUCCGGAAUCAUUGGGCGUAAAGCGGGUGUAGGUGGCUUUGUAAGUCAGGUGUGAAAUCCCAGGGCUCAACCCUGGACGUGCACUUGAAACUGUGAAGCUUGAGUGUGGGAGAGGCUAGUAGAAUUCCAGGUGUAGUGGUGAAAUACGUAGAUAUCUGGAGGAAUACCGGUGGCGAAGGCGGCUAGCUGGCCCAACACUGACACUGAUGCCCGAAAGCGUGGGGAUCAAACAGG
rnacentral:rRNA from 1 species